AUGAACGCUAGCUACAGGCUUAACACAUGCAAGUCGAGGGGCAGCAUGGUCUUAGCUUGCUAAGGCCGAUGGCGACCGGCGCACGGGUGAGUAACACGUAUCCAACCUGCCGUCUACUCUUGGACAGCCUUCUGAAAGGAAGAUUAAUACAAGAUGGCAUCAUGAGUCCGCAUGUUCACAUGAUUAAAGGUAUUCCGGUAGACGAUGGGGAUGCGUUCCAUUAGAUAGUAGGCGGGGUAACGGCCCACCUAGUCUUCGAUGGAUAGGGGUUCUGAGAGGAAGGUCCCCCACAUUGGAACUGAGACACGGUCCAAACUCCUACGGGAGGCAGCAGUGAGGAAUAUUGGUCAAUGGGCGAGAGCCUGAACCAGCCAAGUAGCGUGAAGGAUGACUGCCCUAUGGGUUGUAAACUUCUUUUAUAAAGGAAUAAAGUCGGGUAUGGAUACCCGUUUGCAUGUACUUUAUGAAUAAGGAUCGGCUAACUCCGUGCCAGCAGCCGCGGUAAUACGGAGGAUUCGAGCGUUAUCCGGAUUUAUUGGGUUUAAAGGGAGCGUAGAUGGAUGUUUAAGUCAGUUGUGAAAGUUUGCGGCUCAACCGUAAAAUUGCAGUUGAUACUGGAUAUCUUGAGUGCAGUUGAGGCAGGCGGAAUUCGUGGUGUAGCGGUGAAAUGCUUAGAUAUCACGAAGAACUCCGAUUGCGAAGGCAGCCUGCUAAGCUGCAACUGACAUUGAGGCUCGAAAGUGUGGGUAUCAAACAGGAUUAGAUACCCUGGUAGUCCACACGGUAAACGAUGAAUACUCGCUGUUUGCGAUAUACGGCAAGCGGCCAAGCGAAAGCGUUAAGUAUUCCACCUGGGGAGUACGCCGGCAACGGUGAAACUCAAAGGAAUUGACGGGGGCCCGCACAAGCGGAGGAACAUGUGGUUUAAUUCGAUGAUACGCGAGGAACCUUACCCGGGCUUAAAUUGCAGAUGAAUUACGGUGAAAGCCGUAAGCCGCAAGGCAUCUGUGAAGGUGCUGCAUGGUUGUCGUCAGCUCGUGCCGUGAGGUGUCGGCUUAAGUGCCAUAACGAGCGCAACCCUUGUUGUCAGUUACUAACAGGUUCCGCUGAGGACUCUGACAAGACUGCCAUCGUAAGAUGUGAGGAAGGUGGGGAUGACGUCAAAUCAGCACGGCCCUUACGUCCGGGGCUACACACGUGUUACAAUGGGGGGUACAGAGGGCCGCUACCACGCGAGUGGAUGCCAAUCCCCAAAACCUCUCUCAGUUCGGACUGGAGUCUGCAACCCGACUCCACGAAGCUGGAUUCGCUAGUAAUCGCGCAUCAGCCACGGCGCGGUGAAUACGUUCCCAGGCCUUGUACACACCGCCCGUCAAGCCAUGGGAGCCGGGGGUACCUGAAGUGCGUAACCGCGAGGAGCGCCCUAGGGUAAAACUGGUGACUGGGGCU
rnacentral:rRNA from 1 species